CGUGCUUGUGUUUGGUGUUUUAAAACGUUCUCGUGGCAGCAAUAGAGGCAGUGAGGUUUCCUGUUUCCUUUACAGGAUUCUCACACCGCCUCAAACCCCAACUCAAAACACAC